GAUGAAGAACGCAGCGAAAUGCGAUAAGUAAUGUGAAUUGCAGAAUUCAGUGAAUCAUCGAAUCUUUGAACGCACAUUGCGCCCAUUAGUAUUCUAGUGGGCAUGCCUGUUCGAGCGUCAUUAAUUCCACUUAAGCCCUGCUUAGUGUUGGGAAUCUACUCUAGUGGGGCUACCCUGGAGCUACCCCUGAAAGGGGGCUGGCCCGGUAGCUACCCUGUAGUUCCUCAAAGAUAGUGCGCGGAGUUGCGUGGUCCUCUGAGCUUAGUAACUAUACACCUAGCUUUUGAGUGUCCCGCGGCGCCUGCCGUUUAAACCCCAUCUUUUAAUGGUUGACCUCGGAUCAGGUAGGAAUACCCGCUGAACUUAAGCAUAUCAAUAAGCGGAGGA
rnacentral:misc_RNA from 1 species